rnacentral:rRNA from 1 species
UACGUAGGCAGCGAGCGUUGUUCGGAAUUACUGGGCGUAAAGAGUGUGUAGGCGGUGCUCUAAGUUCGGUGUGAAAUCUCCUGGCUCAACUGGGAGGGUGCGCCGGAAACUGGAGUGCUUGAGCGUGGGAGAGGAAAGCGGAAUUCCUGGUGUAGCGGUGAAAUGCGUAGAUAUCAGGAGGAACACCGAUGGCGAAGGCAGCUCGCUGGGACGGUACUGACGCUGAGGCGCGAAAGCGUGGGGAGCAAACAGG